AAUGAAUGGGCAUUUACUUCCCUUUUCCAGCCCUGUCUGUGCUGGGGGAGUACUAGCAUUUCAGUCCAGAUCCUGCCUGGAUGGUGCUGAAAGGUUGCUGCAGCUCUCAGGGUCACGGCAGCCCUGGGGUCCCGGCAGCCCUCGGGGUCACGGCAGCCCUGGGGUCCUGGCAGCCCUCGGGGUCACGGCAGCCCUGGGUGUCCCUCCUGAUCUGCUCUCGGGAUCUGGCUGGGUGCUGUGGUCUCUGCUGGGGCAUCACACCAGGCUCAGGUCAGUGAGCAUAGGACGUGCCAGGCAAGGCUUCUGUGGCUCCUAAAGACGAGGGCACAGCAUCCCUGAUGCUCCCCAGAAGACUUCCCAGGGCUUUUCCCCAGGGCAUCUGUAAGGGGACCUUUGCACAGACGUGGGGCCCUCCAUCCUCACCACAUCCUGCUGUCCCUGUUCCAACUUUAGUCCCCAUGGUGUGGCCAUAGGAAGGGCGAGUGGGGGCAUGUGGCCUCAGUUUCCCCGGUUUUCAGGGCAAUACCGUUACCUGCAGGAGAUGGUGUGUUUGGAACAGGGGUGGGCUGCUCUUUGGGCAAGCUCAUGGGAAGCUCCCUGACCUCAUGGGGUCACAGGGAGAUGGCAUUCUGUAAGUCAUGGGUCCUCUCGGCAGAGUGGACUUCAGGUCACUCGGGGAGUCCCUCGUUCCUAAAUGCAGCUGGAGGACCUGCCAGGAGCGGAGCUCAUGCAGCAGGCGUGGGAGGCUGGGGCAUCAGGCUAAUUCCCACUGUGAUCCCAGGAGAGCCUGGAAGGGGAGGAGGGCUCCUGCUCACACCCAGGACGGGUGGCCCGGGAACCAGUGUGCACUGGCUGCCAUGGCCUGAACCCAGACCCCAGAUGGUGCAGGCUGCUUGUCUCCAUGGCUGCCAGAAUGCUGAGUGAGACAGAGCAGGAGGAGGAGUCCCCCAGGGGACCCCAGCUCAGCCCUAGGCAGCCUGAGGGCCCGGGGGUGCAGGAGGCCAGCAAGGCGACGAGGGUACUGUGCAGGGCCAGGGGCCACCCAUCUGAUGCUCCCUGCUCAUACUGGCUUCUCACGCUGUGUCACGGUCACUGCGCCCCACACUGGCUGCCCCUUUUCUCAGUGCUUGUCUAUAUCUAUCAGCUGUGGGCUUUCUUCAUCGUCUGUGGUCCACCGUUUGUGAUCUGGUCCGUUCCCAGUGCUCAGCACACGGAAGCGUGAGAGGCACAGCCAAAGGUUCCUCCAAGGGGAGCCCGCGUGUCCUAAAGCCCACCCUGUCCCCACUGGGCGGCUGGCAGCUGGUACAUGCCUGCGGGACAUUGUGAGAGAGAGGGUGUGAGUGACACUGCCCAGCAGGUACCCAGCUGAUGCCAGUCUGCACGCCGCUGUGUCCCGGGCUCGACCACAGUCCCCAGCAGAGGCAAGGAGAGAGACGCUAGCCUGACCGGUCUUGCCCAAUGCCUGGCGUUGAGAUGGCCUGGCUGGGUGGUGGCUAUGGACCCGGAGGCCCUUAGGGCUGGGCAGGCCCUCAUGUGACAUCAAUAAGGCCCGUGGAGUGCUAUGGCCCUCACCGUUGCAGGGAUCAGGACAUGGACAUUUUUGGCACAGUUAUUCACUGUGCCCAGAUGAUGAUUCUUAGAAACCACUCUGCUUUUCAUACAAGUCUCCAUAGUUUGUUUAGAAGAUACAUGGGGCCACAUGGAUCUCAGAUGAUUUCACUUCAUUUUGAGCAGGAACACCAUGCCGGGUGCUUCUGCAGCGGACACCCUGGCCCUGAAAUGCAAUUGCAGGAGAUGUUUGCGCUCCUGAGUACAGUGAGCACCUGGCCCUGUUCAGGGUCUUGCUGAGCUGGGCCUCGUGCAGCCUCGUUGGUGAGAUGGGCUUGAGGGUCCAGCGUGAUCCCCACACUCUGCUGCUCAGCAUGUGCCUGGGAGGCCCUUAGGCCUGUAGCUUUGUGUUACAUUUGAGCUCUUUGGGCACUGGGGAAGGGCUCCUUCUUCAUCUCCCUCUACGUAGGGCGUUGGCUCCAGGGCUGGUGGCUGGCAGCUCUCCCUCCUGCCUUCGAGCGCAGCUGCUCUGCACCCCCAUCCUCAGGCACCUUCCCCUCCAUCUGCAUAUCCUGCCAUGCCUACCUCAGGACUCAUUGCAGGAGAUGGCCUCAGACCCCGUGGCAUGGCUGGGCUGCUCUCUGUGGCCUACCUCCCCUUUCCUGCUCGCUGGUCUUGGUACUUUUGCCUGUUGUACUGCGUCCACUGGACAGCUUCUUGGAGCCCGUGGUCCUGCAGAGCAGGCCUGUGUCUCACUCCUGAGUUCUCAGCAUUCGCCAGCUAUUCCCAGAAGAAAGGUAGUAUGGAACCCAGAUCCUUCAGCAGAUACUAAUGGUGUAUCUGACGGGGCUCAGCCUGUGCUGGGUGCCACACAUGAAUCGAGGUGAACCGAGGUGUGAAUGUGCCGUGUCAGCUCUCAUCACCGCUCUGUUUAUACACGAGAAUCAACAGGGACUUGAUUCAUUCUCCGAGGCAUAUAAGAGUGAGAUAUUUUUUGAGUGGCAACACUAAGGAAAAAGAAAUUUAAGAUUUUUUGCACGUUUAAAUAAGAGAAACUGUAACCAAAUAAGAUGUUUAUUAAUCAUUCUGUUGGUGUUUGCUGGUGGUUCUUGGAGGCUUUCCAAUGAUGGCACCUAGACUUAGAUGUUUCACUGUGGCUUUUACAGCCAUGAAAAUGGGGAGCUGUCUGGCUCUCUGGUAAUGAUUUAUCGUUAUGACUGGUAAUUACGUUAUUACCAGGAAUGAAACACCAAGCUCUGGGGAAUGAGUUUCUGGGUGAAAGUGCACAGUUGCCACUGGCUUCCUGGCUGCAUGGUUCUGCUGGUUCCCUUGUUCACAGCAGCCGCCCAUGCCCUGAGGAAACCCCAUCUGCUAGCAAGCUUUCCUCGGGGCAGCUACGGCUGUGCUCAGUUACAAGCUCAGGUGCAGGAGCGAGGGGAGCACUGACAGGUGCCAGAAGGAAGUAGGGGCACAUUCCUAUGGGGUUGGGGCAUGGGUUGGGGUCGGGAGCACAUCUUCAGCCUGAAGGGAGGGUGGGUAGCGACUGAAACCAAGAAAGCCAGCUGAAGCCGUGCCGGGAUUCAGUGUCCCGGCGAGUGAGACUUGGGGAAACAAAUCCCUGACCUCAGCCCUCCCCAGCCGACACCGGCUAUAGUCAGGUCUCCACCACUGUGGGUCAGAAACCUCCCAGGGCGAGCAGGAGUGGAAGGAAGAAAUGUCCAGCGUAGGCAGGCGUCGGGCGGCGUGACCAUUGGCCUCCUCUGUCCCUGGGUCCUGUGGCCCACAGAGUGCUGCUGCCAGAGGGAGCUGUCAGUGAAGCUGGGCUCCAGCUGCAGCACCGUGGCCUGCAGGACACGCGGGGCUCAGGCGCCUUCAGGUUUCCAGGUGCAGGAAGGUGACCUCUGCCUGGACUCUGCUGCCAGCACUCCUGCAUGGUUUCUUCCCGUUGGCCGGACCUGCACCCAUGGAGUGGGGACCAGAAACUCUGGCUCCCGGCAGCUCGGGUGCGUGAAACGGGGAAGCAAGCCAGGGCCAGCUUGGUCCUGUCAGUGAGGAGCACUAGGGUCUCCCACCCCCAUCCUGGUGCCUCCCUCCUCUUCCUGCUAGGCCUCCACCUUCCUCUGGGCCCCAGCUCUGGUAGCACUGCAUCCUCCUUCGUUUGCCCCUCCAGCCUCUGGACACUGAGGUUUUCCAGUGGGGUGGGGUGUAGUGAGACCUGCAUUCGUUAUGUAUAAAUCAGGUGGUCUACCGUUGACAUGUGGUAAAUUCACCUGUUUAAGUGUAGCCUCACCAGUGUACACAGCUGUGUAGACAGCACCACAGCUAAGGUGCAUUCCCACAGCCCAGAAUGCUCCUUUGGGCCCCUUGGGGGUGGAUUUCUACCCUGACCCACAGCGCCUGGCAGCCACAGCUCUGGAGCCUGUUUGCACAGUUUUGCCUUUUCCAGGAGGCCACAUGAGUCAAUCCUUGGAGGGGCCGCCCUCUGCCACCGCACUGGCCCCGCGCCGUGCAGCUGUGAGCCAGGUCGCCCCUCCCACUGCCCAUGGGUUUCCAUCAUACAGAUGCACCUUAGUGGCCUCGUCGCUCACUAGAUGGUGUCUGAUCCUCAGCAAUUAUGAACAAAGCCGCUGCAAACAUUUAUCGGUCUUUGUGUGGACACCUGUUUCUGCUUCUUACUCUGGGGUAAAUACCUGGGAGUGAGGUUGCUGGGCCCACUGUACGGUGUGUUUACUGUGACUGGAAACUACCCAACUGUGUCCCCAGAUGGCCACCCCACUCCGCACACUCCACGUUCUCAGCACAAGGUGUUUCGCAUCCUGCCCAGCCCUUAGACCACUGGCUCCUCCUUUCUGAAUGGGCCUGGCCAGCACAGAUGGAGCAAAAGAAAGUGACCCUCCGGCAUCUCAUGUUGCAGCUCAUAAAAAUGUGAAGACACAAUGACAUUGCAAGUAUUUAAAACUUCAAACCGUCCAGCAGAAGGAGCUUGGGUCUGAAGGUUUCUUUAUCCCUUUCACUGAAAUAUGUUGCCUAACUCCGUUUUAAGAAGUUUUUGCUUUCAUGUGGCUUUUUUUUCCCAUGAGACUGAAAACCGAUAUUCACGUUGUGGGGGAAAGGGGAGGUUUCACAAGAACCAUGCAGCCGACGUCAGAAGAGGGACAGAGCCCCCACUCAGGGCCCUUGAAGUCAAGGCCACCCGCCCAGGCCUGCUGGGGGGAGGGCGAGGGACACAGUGAGUGAGGAGGGGCAGAGAAGUCAAGGCACCUGCCAAGGGCUGGCGGUGGGAGGGCCAGGCAGGGGGUAAAGAAGUCACAGGCGUCCUCCCAGGGCCAGUGGUGGGAGGGUGGGGGGGGGGCGCAGGGGGCCAGAUGUUAGGGCGGAGCCGAGUCCUGGCUGGCGUCCAUCCUUGCGGUCUGUGCCACUGGAGGGAAUCCAUGUGCUGUGUCAUUGGGUCUCUCUGAGCUUCCCUGGCGCUCUUCUUCCGCAUGUGCCAAGGCCCGUUUUCUGCACCCGCCCCCCCCCAACCGUUCUUGCCUUGGCUGUCGCCUGCCCUCAGUGAUUUCAGUGUCCCGUGAAGCUCUAGAUGGUCUGUGCAUGUCUGCGUGGCAAGAGCUGCGCCAACAAGAUCACCGGCCAAUCCUGCAAACCUGUGAGCGCCUGUGUGCUGUGUCCACGUCCGGCUGGUUGUGGAACUGGCUGGUCCUGACUGUGAGCAGUGGGUCCUGGAGCUUCCAUUGGCUGGGAAGGGGCUCCGGUCCUGGCUGUGAGUGGGGUCCCACAGCUGUUGUUGGCUGGGAAGGGGGUCUGGCCCUGGCUGUGAGUGGGGCCCCAGAGUUGUUUGUGGCUGGGAAGGGGCUCCUGCGGUGACUGUGAGUGGGGUCCCACAGCUGUUGUUGGCUGGGAAGGGGCUCCCACCCUGGCUGUGAGUGGAGUCCCACAGCUGUUGUUGGCUGGGAAGGGGGUCCCGCCCUGGCUGUGA